AACAUUCCAAGCCCAUUAGCCAUCAUUAAACCCUACAUAUAUAAACUUCUAAAACCCUAAUCUGAAGAGGGAGGCUGCUGUAUUUCGAGCUAGGCAAGGAAAGAAGAAAAAGGACCAAGUUGCAUUCCCUCCCAUUUUCACAAAUUUCUUGAAAUUUCAAAGCUUCCAUUUUUCUUCCAUCCUCUCCAACAUCAAGAAGCAGUGGACCUUGCAUCCACUAGGUAAGCCUUCCAUUCCAUCUUCCAUGGC
rnacentral:lncRNA from 1 species